UACGUAGGCAGCAAGCGUUGUUCGGAGUUACUGGGCGUAAAGAGUAUGUAGGCGGUUCUGCAAGUUUGGUGUGAAAUCUCCCGGCUUAACUGGGAGGGUGCGCCGAAAACUGCAGGGCUAGAGUGCGGGAGAGGAGAGCGGAAUUCCUGGUGUAGCGGUGAAAUGCGUAGAUAUCAGGAGGAACACCGGUGGUGUAGACGGCUCUCUGGACCGCGACUGACGCUGAGAUACGAAAGCGUGGGGAGCAAACAGG
rnacentral:rRNA from 1 species